GGUCGAGUAGCUCAGCUGGAUAGAGCAACAGCCUUCUAAGCUGUGGGUCUUGGGUUCGAAUCCCAACUUGAUCA
rnacentral:tRNA from 1 species